rnacentral:rRNA from 1 species
AUGGGUUUGAGGGAUCUUUAUUCCUUCAACCUGGCUAUGCUCUCGAAAAAAUGUUGGCGCCUAAUCACGAAUCCAGAUACCCUCUGUGCCCGGGUAUUGAAGGCCAAAUAUUAUCCGAAUAGCAAUUUACUUCAAGCUACAUUGAAGAAAGGGGCAUCGUUCACAUAGCAGAGUGUGAUGAAGGGCCUAGAGACCUUCAAACUAGGGUACAUUUGGUGCAUUGGAACAUGA